AUGAGCUCACUAAGCAAGACGGAGAACGGUCUGGUGAAAGGAGAGGAAGAAGCUUUCAGAAUGAAAACGGAUGAAGAGGAGGCUAUCACAUUGAAAGAAGAAGAGGAUGAUAUUACAGUGAAAGAGGAAGAUGGGAAAGAUGUUGUCAGCGUGGAACAUGAUGAGGUAGAAGCUUUCAGAAUCAAAAAGGAGGAAGAUGCCGUAACAUUGAAAGAAGAGGAAGAACCUUUUGGAGUACAAGAGGAAGAGGAGGCUAUCUCAAUUAAAGAGGAGGAAGACGUUUUGGGAGUGAAAGAGGAGGAGGCUGAAGAUCAGAUUAACCCCAGAGAGAGACAUGACUAUGGUGGAUCCUCUGGGGAGCCUCAACAACAUCCUGAUGCUGACGAGUCAGAGAAGAGUCUCUACAGAUCAGAACACCAGAUGGUGCAGCUUGGCAUGAGAAGGAAAACAACGUGGCUGUUAUGAAAGUGAACUGUGAUCAGCGGUGCAUUCAUGUGCCGAUUGUUGUUGACAAAGUUUCUUAAACGGAACAAAACGGGGUUACAAUAUACCUGAAUUUGUCCAAUAGAAACUCUUGUUUGCAACUGCUGGAUUAAUGAUUACCCACUAUAUCAGCUAGAUGCAGGCAAGAGUAUGCAAGGUGGUAUUGAAUGUGUCACUUUCACUGACCUGUGUACACCUACGUUGUAAACUUCAUUCAUAGGCUAGGUUGUAGCAAACUCAUGAUUGGUAAAGGGAACAUCUGAGAAUCAAGUAGUAGCCUAAACCUCUCGCUGUUACAUUGAACAGGGUGAAUCGAAUAUGAAUGACAGUUGAAUGACAGUCAUCCAACAUGCUGUAGUAGAAAAAAGGCCAUGCUCAUGAAAAACCAAAUGGUCCUCCCUCAUCUUAAACGGCACUGACCACCACUGUUUGGGUGGUGGACCAUUCUUGGUACACAUGGGAAACUGUUGAGCUGAAAACCCCAGCAGUGUUGCAGUUCUUGACACAAACCGGUGGGCCUGGCACCUACUACCAUCCCCCGUUCAAAGGCACUUAAAUAUUUUGUCUUCCCAAUUCACCCUCUGAAUGGCACACAUGCACAAUCCAUGUCUCAUUUGUCUCAAGGCUUAAAAAUCCUUAUUUAACCUGUCUCCCACCCCCUUCAUCUACACUGAUUGAAUUGGAUUUAACUACUGACAUCAAUAAGGGAUCAUAGCUUUAGCCUGGAUUCACCUGGUCAGUCUAAGUCAUGGAAGGAGCAGGUGUGCUUAAUGUUUUGUAUACUCAGUGUAAAGCACUACAUAUAAUCAAGUGCUAUUUGGCUUUAAGGGAAUAGUAUGGUCACAUCGAGAUAAAAAACGAAUGUGAAAAAUGAACAGAGAAAAUGUGUAUUAACACACUACCUAUUCAUAGAAGUAUUUAUGCAUCAUCUACACAUUCAUAUUACGCUUCUACUUCUGUGUACAGGAAAUUCUUAAAUCAAAUCUUAUUAGUUCUAAGACGUGAGUGAAAAUAUAUCAGUUUAUUGUUAAAUUAUUAUAAAUUUAUUUCCAAUACAAAAAAGCGUAGUAACUAUUGUUUCCAAAAUGCGUUGCUCACUCCAGCCAGCCGAUGACGAUGUGCGUCUUGCGUGACGUAUAAUGGACUGGACGGGACGCUUCUUCAGGAACAACAACACGGCUACUCUUUCAACCACCUCGAUAGCUUGCUAGCCAACAUAAAACUGAAAGAUUGAUUAUUUAGACCAUGUUAAUGUACAUUAGCUAAUCUCAGUAUUUUAAACAAAUUUUGGUUGACUUAUCUAAUGGUUAACUUUAACCUAAUGUGCUUGUUCAAUUUGCAAACUUUUUAAAGAUUGAUAGUGUCUAGGCUAGUCGCUAAUGCUACCUAACUUGCUAACUAACAUCCCUGACCAUGAGCUCACUAAACUUCUCCUCCCUUUCGACCAUGUUUGUGUACAUUAGCUAAUCUGUGUUUUAAACACAUUUCUGUUGACGGAUCAAUUGGUCAACUUAAUUUGCAAACGUGUUAAAGAUUGAUACUGAGGUUAGCACUAGGCUAGUCGCUAAUG
ensembl:lncRNA